ensembl:lncRNA
GGGGGGGGGGGGUACAGCCCUGCCCUCAUUGCCAGGGAGGUCUGCGUUUCACAACGCGAUGCUCCGGUGCACGUAACAGCCAGGGAAGGUCUGGGGUGUUUCACAACGUUGGGGGACCAUCCGCUCGGUUGCAGAAUUUGGUAGCGAUUUCAGGAAAUGGAGCUUUGGCCAUUGUAAAAUCCUGAGGUGGGGUGGGGAGAGGAUGGGCUGAGGGUACGGUGUGGGCUGGGGGGCUCAGGGUUAGGGUUAGGGGCUCAGGGGUAGGGUUAGGGGCUCAGGGGUAGGGUUAGGGGCUUGGGGUUAGGGUUAGGGGCUCAGGGUUAGGGUUAGGGGCUCAGGGUUAGGGUUAGGGCCAGUGGGUUCAGGGUCAGGGUUUGGGUCAAGGUUAGGGUUAGGGACUUGGGGUUAGGGUUAGGGCCAGGGAGUUCAGGGUUAGGGUCAAGGUUAGGGUUAGGGCCAGGGGGCUCAGGGUUAGCAUUAGGGUUAGGUCCAGGAGGUUCAGGAUCAGGGUUAGGGUCAAGGUUAGGGUUACGGGGCUCAGGGUUAGGGCCAGGGGGUUCAGGGUUAAGGUUAAGGUUAGGGUUAGGGUUGGGGCUGAGGGGCUCAGGGUUAGGGUUAAGGCUCGGAUUACUGUUAGGGUUAGGGAUGGGGCUGGAGAGCUCAGGAUUAUGGUUAAGGUUAGGAUUACUGUUAGGGUUUGGGCUAAGGUUAGGGUUAGGAUUAGGAUUAGGGCUAGGGGGCUCCAGGUUUGGGUUAAGGUUAGGGUUAGGGCCAGGGGGCUCAGGCUUAGGGUUAAGGUUAGGGUUAGGGCCGGGGGGCUCAGGGUUAGGGUUAAGGUUAGGAUUAGGGUUUGGACCAAGGGGCUCAGGGCAGCAGCUGGAUGCUCGGCUGUGCCCACCAGGCAGCAGCAAUGAUCCCCCCAAGCAUCUUCUGUCAUUCAGUCACUCAAUGCAGCCCUUAGCAUGAGCCCAGGUACCACUCUGGGGUCUCAGGAACGUGAUGGCACAUCAUCCCAUGGGGCUCAGCAGGUCUCUCUGUGCAGCAGAGCCUCCCAACCCGGUCGCACCCAUGCACUGUGCUAUGGUGAGCUGCAAUCCCAGCCCUGAGGCUGCAGCGUUGGGCAAGCAUUGCUGUGGGGCAGGGAGUGGGAGAGGGCAGUGAAUAGCACAGAGGAUCUGGUUCAGGGCAAGCAGGACCAAUAGUGACUGCAGGAGCUGAGCCCUGGUCAGGCAACCCAUGAUUGGUAGUGUUUGCUCAAGUGCUUUCCAAAUACAUUUACGAGCAGAAGAGAAGGGCUUGCAGUCAGCAGAGGACAAGGUGGGGUUCGUGCUGCUGCGUUUUGUGGAAGGUUUAGCACGAGAUUGGGAAGGAAGUAGGUCCUGGUUGCUAGAUGUGGUUUUAGGGUGGUGAAAUCAGGGGGAUGCGCUGAGCAAGGCAGAUCUUUAAGGACCCUUCCAACUCAGGACGUUCUACAGACCCUGAGCAGGAAGGGGUCUGCGGUGGGGGCCGUGUCUGUCUGAGAUGCCCACAGCUGCAGCUGCUCAUUGCUG